GUGACAGCAGCCGCGGUAAUACGGGGGGAGCAAGCGUCGUUCGGAUUUACUGGACGUAAAGGGCGCGUAGGCGGUCAGCACAAGUCAGUUGUGAAAUCUCCGGGCUUAACUCGGAAAGGUCAACUGAUACUGUGCGGCUAGAGUGCAGAAGGGGCAACUGGAAUUCUCGGUGUAGCGGUGAAAUGCGUAGAUAUCGAGAGGAACACCUGCGGCGAAGGCGGGUUGCUGGGCUGACACUGGCGCUGAUGCGCGAAAGCCAGGGGAGCGAACGGGAUUAGAUACCCCUGUAGUCC
rnacentral:rRNA from 1 species